rnacentral:rRNA from 1 species
GAGUUUGAUCAUGGCUCAGGAUGAACGCUGGCGGCGUGCCUAACACAUGCAAGUCGAGCGGGGUUGUAUUGGAGCUUGCUUUGAUAAAACUUAGCGGCGGACGGGUGAGUAACGCGUGGGUAACCUGCCCUAUACACAGGGAUAACAUUGAGAAAUUAAUGCUAAUACCAGAUAAGCUAACGAUAAGGCAUCUUAUUGAUAGAAAAGCUGAGGCGGUAUAGGAGGGGCCUGCGUCUGAUUAGCUAGUUGGUGGGGUAAAGGCUCACCAAGGCGACGAUCAGUAGCCGACCUGAGAGGGUGAUCGGCCACAUUGGAACUGAGACACGGUCCAAACUCCUACGGGAGGCAGCAGUGGGGAAUAUUGCACAAUGGGGGGAACCCUGAUGCAGCAACGCCGCGUGAAGGAAGAAGUAUUUCGGUAUGUAAACUUCUAUCGACAGGGAAGAAAGAGAUGACGGUACCUGAAUAAGAAGCACCGG